GCCCUGGUGGCACAACGGUUAAGUGCUUAGCUGCUAACCCAAAGGUUGGUGGUUAGAACCCACCCAACGGCU
rfam:Loxodonta africana unplaced genomic scaffold scaffold_43, whole genome shotgun sequence.